GCGGGACGCAGACGGGUGGGGCGGCCGUGCCAGCCGCGAGCACACCCCCGGCUUUGCCAGCGUCUGCGCGCCGGGGCCGCCUCUCCUUCCGCCGGAGCCGCAGGGCCUCAUGGAAGCCCCGGAGGGCGGCGGAGGGGGGCCCGCAGCGCGGGGCCCUGAGGGGCAGCCGGCGCCCGAAGCCAGGGUGCACUUCCGAGUGGCGAGGUUCAUCAUGGAGGCAGGUGUCAAGCUAGGGAUGCGGUCCAUUCCCAUUGCCACUGCUUGCACCAUUUACCAUAAGUUCUUCUGUGAGACCAACCUGGAUGCCUAUGACCCUUACCUGAUUGCCAUGUCUUCCAUUUACUUGGCUGGCAAAGUGGAAGAGCAGCACCUGCGGACUCGUGACAUCAUCAAUGUGUCCAACAGGUACUUUAACCCAAGCGGUGAGCCCCUGGAAUUGGACUCCCGCUUCUGGGAGCUCCGGGACAGCAUUGUGCAGUGUGAGCUUCUCAUGCUGAGAGUUCUGCGCUUCCAGGUCUCCUUCCAGCAUCCACACAAGUAUCUGCUCCACUACCUGGUUUCCCUCAAGAACUGGCUGAACCGCCACAGCUGGCAGCGGACCCCUGUUGCCGUUACUGCCUGGGCCCUGCUGCGGGACAGCUACCACGGGGGGCUGUGCCUCCGCUUCCAGGCCCAGCACAUCGCCGUGGCAGUGCUCUACCUGGCCCUGCAGGUCUACGGAGUUGAAGUGCCCGCCGAAGUUGAGGCUGAGAAGCCAUGGUGGCAGGUGUUCAGUGACGACCUUACCAAGCCAGUCAUUGAUAAUAUUGUGUCUGAUCUCAUUCAGAUUUAUACCAUGGACACAGAGAUCCCCUAAGGCCCUGGCCCAGGCCUGCCCAAAGAGAAGCCCAGGAUGGUUGGCUGCCUGGGGACAUUGCCACCACGUCGCCAUGACGGCUGGUCCCCAGAGGACCGGCUGGGAGGACUGGUUUGCUGCUGGAGAAGGACUGGAGAAGGCGAUGGCAUGCUGCUGCUUUGACAGUCCCUAGCAGUUGCGGUCCAGACGAUGAUGGGAGCCGCACCUCCGGUGGGCAGGCCGGGAGUGCACUGUGUGAGCUGACCCAAGGCAGCCACAUCUGCUUUUGUCCUUUGAGAGGACUCUGACUACAACAGAGGCAUGACAUCAAUGAAAGGAAAACCAUGAAAUCGAUGAGACUGAAUCCCUAGGGAUUUUGUAAAGCCAGAUUCAUGGCGAGAAUGAAUGUGCAACGUGGCUGAAAUCUAUUUUGUGUAAUAAAAGAAAGAAAGGACUUGGAGGUGACAGAAUUGCAAGCCGGAAACAGCCUCCGUGCCUAUAUUUCUUCUGCAGCCUAACACAGCCUCCCACAUGCAUUGAACUGUGCUGUGGGUGAGAAAAAAAAGCCAUAAGAAAAAAGGAGGAGAGACAGACACGGGAGAAAAGCCACACUACAACAGAGGCAGAGGUUGGAGUGAAGCAUCUACAAGCCAAGGAAUUCUGAGGACGGCUGGCAAUGCCCAAAGCUAAGAGGAGGUCCUGGAACAGAUUCUGCCCUGGAGCCUUCAGAGGGAGCAUGGCCUGCCCAUGCCUUGAUUUUGGACUUUUGGCCUUCAGAACUGUGAGAGAAGUUUCUGUUGUUGUGAGCAGCCACGGGCCACUCACACACGGGCCUCCCCGAGACCCCUGCACAAGCCUUUACUCCCAGGACUCAGCUGUUUCACUGAGUACCAAUUUUCCCCCGUGGCACCUGUGUCAUAUCUGAAGCAGAAGCUUGUGGACAGGGGAUUCACAGACACAAAUUUGCGAUUCUUUUAGGGUAGCAUGAUAUCUCUCCAUGAAGGGCCAUCUGUCUUGGUGUGGACUUUGGCUCAAUCUGGACUUACUCAUCCCUAUGGUUCAGGAUGCACUUGGACACCAAUGCAGCAAGGGCAUGGUGCGAUUCUUCUGCCUGCUGUUUUC